rnacentral:lncRNA from 1 species
GUGACACAAAAAAUAUAUGAAACUAUCUUUGUAAUAUCAAAUUCUUAAAAGUUUCAUGGUGGAAACUGAAACAGUGCCACAUGUUCACACAGUAGGGUAUGAUUUAUUUUAUCUGCCAAAACUGGGAAAAGAGUUGUAUGUUAGUCAGCUUUCCACAACUAUAAUAAAUACCUGAGAUAAUCCACUUAUAGAUAUGUAUAAAUAUAAUAUAUAAGGGGUUAUUUUGGCUUAAGUUUUUCAGGAUUCUUAGUACUAGUGGCAUGGUGAUCAUCAUAACACAAGACAGCACAAUGUUGUACUCAUAUCUGUGGUGAUGCUGGUGUAAACAAACCUCUUGUGCUACCUUUCCUACAAAGUGUAGCUCAUACAAGUAUGUACAGUAUGUGAAAUUUGAUAAUAAUAAACAACUAUAAUAUUAUUUUAUAUUCCACUUACAAUAACAUCUACUAUAAAAAUAUAUUCUGUUAUGCCAGAAUCAACCUUAUUUAUUUCAUGCUUAUCAAGAUUUUAUCAAGAGGCUCUGUUAAUCAAUGAUGAAGGAAUUCAAAUGUAUUUAUAUAAAGACAAACUAUAACAAGUAUAACAACAAAUUUCAAUUCUUGGAUGCUAAGUUCCACUGUAUGAUGUUCACUCAGUGAAGAAUCAUCUAAAGGUACAUUUUUCAAGAUGUUUCCUGUUAUUAAGCAAUAUAUGACAGUAAUUAAAUUGCCCAACUAUUUGUUUUUCUCUCAUAAAUUAGAAUGUUAAACAUAAAUUCAAUAAUUUAGCAAACUGUCCUAUAUUCAACCACCAAUUUUCUAUCUUUCCAUGCAUUUGCUUUUACAUACACUCAUCCAUACAUAUGUAGUUCAUACGAUAUAUAUAAAUAUACCCCCCACACAUACAUAUGAAUUAUAAACAUGUACAUUUUUAUUUUAUGUACAUGUCAUGGUGAUACAUUAGUUUAGUUUUCUAAGACUGCUGUAAUGGAGAAAAGCAAACUGGUGGUUUACCUAACAGAACUGCAUUGUGUCACCAGCAAAAAAUCCUAAAUCAAGGUGCCAGUAGUGUUGUGUCUUUUUGAGAUCUGUGAGAAAGCAUCUGUUCCAUGCCUCUUGUCUCCACUGUGGUGGUUAUCUGGCCAUCUUUGAGAGUCCCUGGCUUGUAGAGGCAUCAUCCCAAGCCUUCUUUUUCAAGGCUUUCAAACUAAGUGUCUCAAAAUUUCCUCUUUUUAUAAGUACAACACUUACUUUGGAUUACAGCCCACUCUAAUGAUCUCAUUUAGAAGUAUUUACUGCUAUAAAAACCCUAUCUGCAAAUAAGUCACAUUUUUGAAGUACUAGAGGUUAGAACUUCAACAUAAGAAUUCAAGGAAGCGGGGGCUGGGGUUGUGGCUCAGUGGUACAGUGCUCAUCUAGCAUGCAUGAGGCACUGGGUUCGAUCCUCAGCACCACAUAAAAAUAAAGUAUUGUGUUCACCUAAAACUAAAAAAAGGUAAAUAUUAAAAAAAAUAAAUAAAGCAUUCAAGGAAGCAGAAUUUGACCAACUAAGACAUAUUAAAAAUUUUCAUUAUUUUAAACUUUUGAAUAAUCUUAGAUUCAAGAAAUUAGCUAGUGGUAAAGACUAAUUGAAUAUGCAGGCUUAAGAUUUUUAAAUGACUCAAAUUUCAAUCUAGGAGAAGUAAGCAUUGAAUAUGAUAAUAAAAUUUUGAUUAAUUUUCUACUUAUUUUGUGAUUGAUAAAUUAAACAACAAUAUUGGCUAUUAUAUUUUU